GAUGAACGCUGGCGGCGUGCCUAAUACAUGCAAGUCGAGCGAACAGACGAGGAGCUUGCUCCUCUGACGUUAGCGGCGGACGGGUGAGUAACACGUGGAUAACCUACCUAUAAGACUGGGAUAACUUCGGGAAACCGGAGCUAAUACCGGAUAAUAUAUUGAACCGCAUGGUUCAAUAGUGAAAGACGGUUUUGCUGUCACUUAUAGAUGGAUCCGCGCCGCAUUAGCUAGUUGGUAAGGUAACGGCUUACCAAGGCAACGAUGCGUAGCCGACCUGAGAGGGUGAUCGGCCACACUGGAGCUGACAGGCGACCCAGACUCCUACGUGAGGCAGCAGUAGGGAAUCUUCCGCAAUGGGCGAAAGCCUGACGGAGCAACGCCGCGUGAGUGAUGAAGGUCUGCGGGUCGUAAAACGCUGUUAUGAGUGAAGAACAAAUUUGUAAGUAACUAUGCGCGUCUUGACGGUACCUAUACAGAAAGCCACGGCUACCUACGU
rnacentral:rRNA from 1 species